rnacentral:rRNA from 1 species
UCAUUAGUUGGACGAAACACAGGUGCUGCAUGGCUGUCGUCAGCUCGUGUCGUGAGAUGUUGGGUUAAGUCCGCAACGAGCGCAACCCUUUACUUUUAGUUGCCACCAUUUAGUUGAGCACUCUAAAAGAACUGCCAGUGAUAAGCUGGAGGAAGGCAGGGAUGACGUCAAGUCCUCAUGGCCCUUACGUGUUGGGCUACACACGUGCUACAAUGGCACUUACAAUGAGAUGCUAAGAGGCGACUCCAAGCCAAUCUCAAAAAGGUGCCUCAGUUCGGAUUGUACUCUGCAACUCGAGUACAUGAAGCUGGAAUUGCUAGUAAUCGCGGAUCAGCGC